UGGGGGAUAUUGCACAAUGGGGGAAACCCUGAUGCAGCAACGCCGCGUGAAGGAAGAAGGUCUUCGGAUUGUAAACUUUUGUCUUGCGGGACGAAUAAUGACGGUACCGCAGGAGGAAGCCACGGCUAACUACGUGCCAGCAGCCGCGGUAAUACGUAGGUGGCGAGCGUUGUCCGGAAUUACUGGGUGUAAAGGGUGCGUAGGCGGAUUUGCAAGUCAGACGUGAAAACUAUCGGCUUAACCGGUAGCCUGCGUUUGAAACUGUGAGUCUUGAGUGGUGAAGAGGUAAGCGGAAUUCCUAGUGUAGCGGUGAAAUGCGUAGAUAUUAGGAGGAACACCAGUGGCGAAGGCGGCUUACUGGGCACUAACUGACGCUGAGGCACGAAAGCAUGGGGAGCAAACA
rnacentral:rRNA from 1 species